AUGAAUAUAGGCCACACAUGCUUUGAAUUUUUAAGUAGUCCACAAUUUUGUUCGUUUGUGUGCAAAAUUCUACAUUGCUUGACAGCCAUACAUACUAAGUAAAUAGACACCCACAUUGUUUACGUAUUAUGAGGAAGAAGACCAAGUCAAUCUACUUUGUAAUCUCAUCAAUCUUAAUUUUCUCAGUUAUUUAGGGAGUUCAAAUGAAAUACAAAAUUUUGGAAAAAAAAUGUAUCCAAUUUUGUGAAUGAAAAAUAUAUGGUAAAAAGGGUUUGUUAUGGAUACUUCGGCCCCUGGUAUCAAUACUCAGGGUAAGUUUAUCGAUAGGUUAUGGAUGCGGGGUAGUGUUUGGAAUGGCCAUGGGAUGUGUUGUUUUCCAAACCGGUAAGGCGAAAAGGUUGGUGAAUUUGGUUGAAGACCAACAUGAGAAGAGGCGAAGAAGAAAGCCAAAAUAUAGCACUCGCAUCAAUGGAUGAAGAAGGAUCUAGUUGGUGCGAAUGAAGUUAAAGCAUUUCUGCUGUGUCUUCAUAAUUUCUUGUUUAGUACUCUGUCAGAAAAUUUUUCCUAUGGUGAAAAGUUGCAUUGCUAUGUGUCUGUUUUUAUGAUUGUACCAAUUCCUCUGUAUUUCAUUGCAUUUCGUACUGUUUGUAAGGGUUUAGUUCGAGUGGAACAUCUUGUAUGGUGCAACUAUGUAUGUCUUCUUUCUUGAAUUUCAAUUUUAGUAAACAUUAUACUGCUCACCAUAAAAAAAAUACAUGUAGAAUUACAAAAGAUUCAAUUAUUCAAGCUGUUUGAGUUGCAUUUAUAAACACGUGACGAUGAGAAUUCAUGAACAUAAGGUAUGGUUUGAGCCCUUUUGCCAUAUGCAUUUAUGUUGCAGAUGUUCAAACAUGGAAUAAUUCAACCUGCCAUAAGCAAGUGUGAAGUCAAUAGACAAUUGAUAGUCUUAGUCUUUGUCUUUUUUUGUCUGAGUUAAAGUGUAGUCAAUAGACAAUUGAUAGUCUUAGCCCUUUUUGUGGAGUUAAAUUUAUAGUCAAUAGACAAUUGGGACCAAACUUGACCUGUUAUAAGGAAGAAGACUUUGUAAUCUCACCAAUGUUAAUUAUUUUACUUCUUUGGUAAAAAAAAGUAAUUAAUUUUAUGAAUGAAAAAUAUACGGUAAAGAGGAAGUAGUUGUUGAUCACUAAUAACAUGAUGAUUGUGGAAAUACAAAAAAUCCCAUAUAUGUGUUGAAUUCUGCAUAAUGUAAAUGUCCCGCAUUGCAUGUGAAUUCUGCAAUAGACCAAACUUUAUGUGUUAUAGUCCUUUAAACUGAGUUAAUGAAAAGUAACCAUUCUUAUCAAAAUUAGUUAUACUCUUAAUUUAUAACAAAGAAAGGAGUAAUUUGAGUUUAACUCAAAGGUUAAUAUGUCAUCAAUGGGCGAUGGCGUGGUGCUACCAUGUCAGCCAUUAUUUUCUUCUUUGAGUUAAGGUGAUUUCACCAAUUUAAGUUUACUUUUUUACUUCAAUUUAGGUUUAUGCUUAUUACCUUCGAAGAUUCUAAGUGGGUGCCACAACCAAAGGGUGAGUAAAAAGGGUUAAAAAUAAUUUUUUUAAAAAUAUUUUUAUUUUUAUUAAAAAUUUAGAAUUAGAAUUAGAUAAAUUUUGUAAAUGUUAAGGGCUAACUUUAUUAAUUUUUUUUUCAUAAUUCGAACUAAAAUGACAAAUUUUGUAAAAAGCGCUAAAUUAGUUGAAUUUUUUAUAUUUAGGAUUAAAUUGAUAGAAUGUGUAAAUAUUAGAGGUUAAAAUUGUUAUUAGAUCAAUAAAAAACCCAUAUCAGCUUUCCGUCACUCAUCUAUCUACAACUAAAGGGAGAGCGAUUAAAAAAUUAGAAUGUUUGGAUCAUUUUUCUAAUUAAAGUCAUAGUGUAGGAGGCAAUUAAAUGCAUGCGCCACUCACGGUGGACGGUUUUGACAGCUGAUGACGUUGACAGUGCUCUUAAUCUGAGAAACGUGGAGGUACAUUUUCAAGUUUCAAAAAUUUUCUGUUUAUUGUAUUUUUUUAUUAUUCUUUUUCCUUUUUAGUUGAAAAUAGUGCUAAUUAAUGUUAUUUGUUUGACUAAUGUGAUAAUUUCUACUUCAUGUGUAUUAAUCCAUAAAUUUUAACAAGAGUGGAAUUUUGAGAACUUAGUUUUGGAAGUUUGAAUCUUAAGUUUAACCUGCUGCUUUAGAUUUUGCAUUUUGGUUAACUGGCUUGUGUUAUGUGUUUCUCUGGCAUCAGCCGAUAUGUGGAUUUGCCCCUCGUGAUGCACUACGAUUCAAGAAAGCUGCUGGGCAUAAGGAUUUGUUCUACAUUGAUGACAAAGAUGUGGAGUUUAAAGAAGUAGGAACUUAUCAACAAUAUUCGAGAUUCUGUUAUAUGUUGCCUUAUGUAUGUAGGUUCUUGAGUCACCUUUGCCAAGAGCACCACGUGAAUUUAUAUAAGUAUACACAUUUUUAUGAAAUACAAGAUCUUGCUAAAAGAAAAAGCAUAUAAAAGUAUAAACGUUUUUAUGAAAUACAAGAUUUUGCUAAAAGAAAAAGCAUCCAAUUUUAAGAAUGAAAAAUAUAUGGUAAAAGCAUCCAUAACUUUUCAAUGUAAAAGACAAAAAAGACUGUAACACCAAUGUUGUGGUAUUAUUUGUUGCCUAUAAAUACCAUUCCUAUCCUUCUUCUUCCUCUACAAACAUAACAUGGCCCCCUAUCUCUUUCUCUGCCUAUUCCUCUUCUUUCCCCAUCUUUAUGCUUCUUUUUCUUCUUCAGGAUCUCACUCCUGCUCUUCACUAAUCCAAUUUAAGGACUCUUUUUCCAUCACAGAGGAUGCUUCCUGGUAUUGCGAUGAGAUUGCUGGCCUUAAAUCUCAUCCCAAGACAGAUUCAUGGAAGGAGGGUACAGAUUGCUGCUCAUGGGAUGGGGUCACUUGUGACCACCUAAAUGCUCAUGUUAUUGCCCUUGACUUGAGCUGCAGUUGGCUAUCUGGCAACUUCCCUUCCAAUACCACUCUCUUCCUUCUUCCUCACCUUCAAAAACUCAACCUUGCCUACAAUCAUUUCAAUCAUUCCAAAAUUCCAUCCGAGUUCGGUCGGGUUUACAAGCCUAUUCUACCUCAACCUUUCUAAUACAUGGUUUGCAGGAGAAGUCCCAUCCCAAGUCUCGCACCUGUCAAAAUUGGUUUCACUUGAUCUCUCCUCUGAGUUUGGUGAACAAACAAUUGACAAACAUGCUCUGGAGGGACUUGUUCACAACCUAACCGAGGUCAGACAUCUGUUUUUGGAUGGAAUGGACAUGUCUUCUGUUAAUGCUCAUGUCUUCAUGAAUCUAUCCUCUUCUCUAAGGUCUCUCAGUCUUGCUUAUUGUGAUUUGCAAGGAAAAUUCCCAAAAAACAUUUUUGAUUUGCCAAACCUCAAUCUCCUCAACUUGAGAGGCAACCAAAACCUCAAUCUUGAUCCUUUGAAGUUCAAUCGGAGCAGCAAUCUUGAACAUUUGGAUCUGUCGUGGAUGUCCUCCUCUACAGAAUCCAUUGAUUCAGUUGAUAAUCUACAGGCCUUAAAGUACUUAGCUCUAUCAGGAAAUUCUUUCUUUCAACGAUUGUCUGUCUCAAUCACAAAAUUAUCUUAUUUGGAGUACUUGACACUUGAAGGCGCAAAUUUUUUUGGAGGAUUGCCUGACUCGAUGGGGAAUCUCGUGUCCUUGAAGUGUUUAGACUUGAGAUCAAACAAAUUGAGUGGACAAAUUCCAUUGUCAAUUCUAAACCUAACGCAGUUGGAAUACUUGGAUAUAUCUGAAAAUUCAUUAGAAGGUUCCAUUCCAGAUGAGGUAACCGCUUUUCCUAAUCUAAAACAUUUAGACUUAUCUGACAAUUUACUCAAUGGAACACUUCCGUCAUGGUUGUGUACUGUUCCCUCCUUAAAGAUAAUAUUUCUCUUUCAAAAUCAAUUCAGUGGGCAUAUCAAAGAAUUCCAAUCCAAAUCACUAGAAUUGAUAGUGUUACAGAAUAAUAAACUCCAAGGUCCUCUUCCAUCUUCAAUAUUCCAACUUCUCAAUCUUACAUCGCUUGCUUUAUCCUCAAAUAAUCUUAGUGGUGUCAUAGAGUUUAGCAUGUUCUCAAACCUUCCAAAUCUCGAAUAUCUUGACCUUUCAUAUAACAGCCUAUCCUUAACAUCUAAUACUACUUCUACUGUUAAUCAUAUAUUGCCUAAUCUUACAGACGUACUUUUGUCAUCUUGCAAUCUUAGUGAAUUCCCCCAAUUUUUGAAAGGGCUUAAAAGUUUGGAAAGGUUAGACCUCUCUUGCAACAAAAUUGAAGGCAAGAUUCCACAGUGGAUGCAAGAGGUGGGGAAUGUCUCUUUGACUUACUUCAACGUAUCUCACAACUCUUUGACAGAAGUUGAGCACUUUCCAUGGAAGAAUAUUGCAUUUCUUGACUUAAGCUCCAAUUUGGUCAGUGGAAAUCUUCCGAUUCCAGCUUCGACGAUCAGAGUCUUUCUGAUCUCAAAUAAUAGUUUCAAUGGAGAGGUCUCUUCUUUAAUAUGCAAUGCCAGUUCUCUUCAAAUUCUUGAUUUGUCCCACAAUAACUUGAGUGGAACAAUUCCGCAAUGUUUCGGAAAUUUGAGCGACAGCCUUGAAUUCUUGAAUCUGAAGAAGAACAAGUUUUAUGGGACGAUUCCUCCAACAUUUGCAGAGGGAUGCCAGUUGACUAAUUUCAACUUAAAUGGAAAUCUGUUAGAAGGGCCUUUGACACCAUCCAUCCUUAAUUGUAGAGGUCUGGAAGUGCUAGAUCUUGGUAACAACAAGAUCAAUGAUACAUUUCCUCAUUGGUUGGGAAAUCUUCCAUAUUUGCAAGUUCUUGUAUUGAAGUCAAAUCAUAUGCAUGGUUCUUUGCGUGUCAAUAGCUCCAAGUCUAGCCCCUUUUUCUCUAAAAUCCAAAUUUUUGACCUCUCAAGUAAUUAUUUUUCUGGACCCCUACCUGUGAGGUACAUCAACAGCUUCAAGGCUAUCAGAAAUCUAGAGAAGAUUCGUAGUACAGUGUCGUACAUGGGGGUGAAUGGUCGGAAUGGUAGUGGCUUCUAUACCUAUUCCAUUGGAAUUGUUAUGAAAGGACAAGAUAUGGAAUUGGUGAAAAUUUUCACCAUGUGGAUGAUCAUUGAUCUAUCAAACAAUCAGUUUGAAGGGGGUAUUCCAGAGGUUUUUGGAAAGCUUAACUUACUGAAAGGGCUCAACCUUUCUCAUAAUAACCUUAGUGGUGGUAUCCCCACCUCAAUAGGGAAUUUGACAAGUCUUGAAUGGUUGGACCUAUCUUCAAACAGGUUGUCUGGGACGAUUCCAAAUAGAUUGGCAGAUCUGGCAUUUCUUUCGUCCUUCAAUGUUUCUGAAAAUCAACUCCAUGGUCAGAUUCCUCAAGGAAAACAAUUCAACACAUUUGGAAAUGAUUCAUAUCAAGGGAAUAAGGGACUAUGUGGGUUUCCAGUCUCGAAAGGUUGCAACAUCAUUGAGCCAGCACCUCCAAAUGUGCUUGAAAAAGAUGGCUCAAAAUCAAACAUUACUUUUGGUUGGAAAGUGGUGUUGAUAGGUUAUGGAUGCGGAGUGGUGUUCGGAAUGUCCGUGGGAUAUGUUGUUUUCCAAACUGGUAAGCCGAAAUGGUUGGUGAAUUUGGUUGAAAUCCAACAUGAGAAGAUGCGAAGAAGAAAGUCAAAGGAUGGCAGUCGCAGCAAUGGACGAAGAAGGAUCUAGUUAGUGGAAAUGGUGUUCAAGUGUUGAUGUUGUAUCUUCAUAAUUUCUUGUUUUGAAGUCUUUCAAUUUUUUUCCUAUGGUGAAAGGUUGCAUUGCCAUGCAUCUGUCUUUAUUAUUGUAACAAUUCAUCUAUAUUUCAUUGCAUUACGUCCUAUAACAUUUUGUAUGGUUCAACCAUUUAUAUCUUCUUUCAUGACUUCCAUUUUUGAGUCUCAAUAAUCUCUGCAUUCAAGAUUUUGUCAGCUUAUUAAUUGGUGGAUCAAUAAUCUUCAUGCUCAUCUCAUCAUCUUUUUCUCGAGUUUCUUCUGUGUGGAAAAUAAUUUGACAUUCUGCAAAUUUCCACAAUGCUUGUGGAUUACCUUUGGUUAACAGCUAUACAUAUAAAGGAAGAAAACAAGACCAUGUCCAAAUUUCCAAAAAUUAGCCAUUGAUUUUUGAACAGUUAAACUUUCGUAUUCUAUUUUUUAAAAUUGUAAAUUCUCAAAUAAUGUAAAUUAGUCCUAAAACUCAAGUUUUGAAAUCUUUACAAUUUAACCCCUUAUAGUUUCAAACUUUACUGUUUUAUACUCAACUUUCUAAAUUUUCAUAUUUCAUGAUCAUAUAAUUUAGUUACUACAUCAAUAUUUGAGAUUUCACUACUCAAACCCUUACUUCAUUUCGGUCGUUACUUCAAUUUUAUCAAAUUACAUCAUUUUUCAAUUUGAAUGCAUUGAUGUGAAAUUGAGGGACCACUAAACAAUGUUGAUGAGAGUUUAGGCAAAAUUGGUGGAUCCGAUCUCCUUAGUAAUUUCUUUGUGGAAGUACCUACUUUCACAAUGCAAACUUGGAUAGUUUGUGGUGGACGAUGAUGAAUCAUUUCACAGUCAAACACAUAAUUUUUAAACACAAAAUUAACGAUAUAUUGAAAUCAUUAUUGAAAUUAUAAUCAAAAUUAAUACAUGUUCUUUUUAUUAGCUUAAGGGCGUAAAAACCCUUCAAAAUUUUCAAAAAAAAAAAAAAUUUAAGUCCUUUUUUUCUACUCAAUUGAGCACUUAAACUUUUAAAAUGUAUCAAAAAUAUCUUUACACUUCUUCAAAAAAAGCAAUUAAACCCCUUUUUUUUUCCGCUCAAUUGGGUACUUGAACUUUCAUAAUGCAUAAAAAAAACCUUAAAUUUUUUUUUCAAAGAAACAAUUAAGCCUCUAUUUUUUUCCCACUCAAUUGGGUACUUGAACUUUCAUAAUGCAUCAAAAAGGCCUUUAUUUUUUUUCAAAAAAGCAAUUAAGCCCCUACUCUUAUUAAAAAUUAGAAAAAAUCAUAAAAAUAAUAAAGUUCAAGUACCCAAUUGAGUGCCAAAAAAUAAAGUAGGGGCCUAAUUGCUUUUUUUUGAAAAUGUUUGAGGGUCUUUUUGAUGUAUUUUGAAAGUUCAAGUACCCAAAUGAGUGCAUAAAAAGAACAGGGGUUUAGUUGCUAUUUUUGAAAAAGUUUGCACCCUUAAACCUCUUUUCUUUUUCUUUUUCAUAUGUGGCCUUGUUUGCUACAACUUAGUUGCUAAGUUAAAGGGAGUGAAUAGAGCACCAUUUUCUUCUUCUGCGUGGAAAAUUAAGUUGGCAUUAUGCCAAUUUCCACAUUCAUACAUACAAAGGAAGCAAGAGCAAGUCAAUAUACUUUGUAAUCUCAUCAAUUCUAAUUUUUAAAGUGUUGUUUACUACACACUUAGGGACCAUAUAUGUAUAUAUAUACAUUGCAGUCUGGGUCUUUGUCGUGUUUUGUUGGUUGGCUAUGGCCUUCUUGUUGUUUCCACUGUCUGCGGUGUUUGUUUCUAAGUCAUAUGUGGCCCUGUUUGCUACAACUUAGUUGCUAAGUUAAAGGGAGUGAAUAGAGCACCAUUUUCUUCUUCUGCGUGGAAAAUAAGUUGGCAUUAUGCCAAAUUCCACAUUCAUACAUAUAAAGGAAGCAAGACCAAGUCAAUAUACUUUCUAAUCUCAUCACUUCUUCUUUCUUUAGGGAGUUCAAGUGAAAUACAAAUUUUUUCACAUCCAAUCUCAUAAAUAAUCCGUCUUUGAACUUUCACCAAAAAAUAUUAAAUACCCAUUCACUUCAAUUCUACUAUUCUUAAAUCAUUAAAGUUUUGUGGAAAAUAUGCUUCUUGGAUAAAAUUAUUCAACACACAUGCCUUGAAUUUUAUGCAAAUAAAAUAAAUGAAUAUAGGCCACACAUGCUUUGAAUUUUUAAGUAGUCCAUAAUUUUGUUCGUUUGUGUGCAAAAUUCUACAUUGCUUGACAGCCAUACAUACUAAGUAAAUAGACACCCACAUUGUUUACAUAUUAUGAGGAAGAAGACCAAGUCAAUCUACUUUGUAAUCUCAUCAAUCUUAAUUUUUUCAGUUGUUUAGGGAGUUCAAAUGAAAUACAAAAUUUUGAAAAAAAAAUGUAUCCAAUUUUGUGAAUGAAAAAUUUAUGGUAAAAAGGAUUUGGUAUGGAUACUUCAGCCCGGGUAGCAAUACUCAGGGUAAGUUUAUCAAUACAUUGCUUUUGGUUGGAAAGUGGUGUUGAUAGGUUAUGGAUGCGGGGUAGUGUUUGGAAUGGCCAAAAUAUAGCAAUCGCAUCAGUGGAUGAAGAAGGAUCUAGUUGGUGCAAAUGAAGUUAAAGCAUUUCUGCCGUCUCUUCAUAAUUUCUUGUUUGGUAGUCUGUCAGAAAGUUUUUCCUAUGGUGAAAAGUUUGAGUUGCAUUUAUAAAAUUUCCACUGUCAAAAGAUUCGAUUGCACUGCAGGGUAACAUAUUUAAGAUUGGAUUACACUGUCAAAAGAUUGCAGCAACGAUGAGAUUAAUCCAAUUACAGGAAUUGGUAUCCUAAAUGGCUUUUUGGUACGUAGCUUCAUUGACGGUACAAACUAGUUAAAAUUUCCAGCAUUCAUGUGUUUGUUUUCCCUCAAGUAAACGUAGUCAAUACUGCAAAUGGUGUGGAAGUACUGUACAUUGUGGCCCAAAUGUCCAAAAUUUCCACAUUGCAUGUAAAUUAAGUUUGCGUGAGAGAGAUAGGAGGAAGCAACAGCAAGUGUGAAGUCAAUAGACAACUGAUAGUCUUAGUCUUUUUUUGUCGAGUUAAAGUGUAGUCAAUAGACAAUUGAUAGUCUUAGCCCUUUUUGUGGAGUUAAAAGUAUAGUCAAUAAACAAUUGAUAGUUAAAUUUGUAGCAUUCUUCUUCCUCUUUAUUCUUUUGUGUGGAAAAUUAUUUGGGACCAAACUUGACGUGUUAUAAGGAAGAAGACUUUGUAAUCUCAUGAAUGUUAAUUAUUUUACUUCUUUGGUAAAAAAAGUAACCAAUUUUAUGAAUGAAAAAUAUUAUGUGGUAAAAAGGAAGUAGUUGUUCAUCACUAACAAUAUGAUGAUUGUGGAAAUACAAAAAAUCCCAUAUAUGUGUUGAAUUCUGCAUAAUAUAAAUGUCCUGCAUUGCAUGUGAAUUCUGCAAUAGACCAAACUUUACGUGUUAUAGUCCUUUAAACUGAGUUAAUGAAAAGUAACCAUUCUUAUCAAAUUUAGUUAUACUCUUAAUUUAUAACAAAGGAAAGAGUAAUUUGAGUUUAACUCAAAGGUUAAUAUGUCAUCAAUGGGUGAUGGCGUGGCGCUACCAUGUCAGCGAUUAUUUUCUUCUUUGAAUUAAGGUGAUUUCACCAAUUUUAGUUUACUUUUUUACUUCAAUUUAGGUUUAUGCUUAUUAGCUUCAAAGAUUCUAAGUGGGUGCCACAAUCAAAGGGUGAGUAAAAAGGGUUAAAAAUGAUUUUUUUAAAAUUUUUUUAUUUUUAUUAAAAAUUUAGAAUUAGAAUUAGACAAAUUUUGUAAAAGUUAAGGGCUAACUUUAUUGAUUUUUUUUUCAGAAUUCGAACUAAAAUUACAUUUUGUAAAAAGAGCUAAAUUUGUUGAGUUUUUUAUAUUUAGGAUCAAAUUGAUAGAAUGUGUAAAUAUUAGAGGUUAAAUUUGUUAUUAGAUCAAUAAAAAAAACCCACAUUAGCUUUGCGUCACUCAUCUAACGACAACUAAAGGGAGAGUUAUUAAAAUAUUUAAUUUCAAAAAGUUUAGCAACUAAAUUGGAAAAUUUAAUAGUUGGGUGACUAUUUUUGCAGUUUACUACUUUUUUGGUCACCUGACUAUUAAGUGACACUUUUUAGUUGGUAUAAUAAUAAUUUUAGUCCUCAAUUUUUAUACUUUCUGUCAAUUUGACUCUGAUUAUAUAAAAUGAUUACAAAAGUGAAAUUCUUUUUAAAAUUUACAAAAUUCUAAAAAUUAAAAAUUAAAUGAAAGUAGAUAAAAAUUUCAAAUAUAAACAAAGUGAGAGAAAAUGAGGGAAAUAUUAUUUUUAAACCCUCCAACUUUUCUUUGUAUUAUCGUAAAGAAAUAUCUAAUAUCCAUUCUUUUAGAAAACAUAGAAAAAAGUAAAAAAAAAAAGAUUCAGUAAAAUUAUCUGUAUAUAAUCUGCUUUUAUAAUUUGGGUUUUUAAAAAUAAAUUUAAAUGAAUUGAAAAUUCGAAUUGAGUUUGAAAAAUAAAAUUUUGUGGUAUAUUUUAUAUUUUUGCUAGAAAAAUGGCAUCAAAGUUGAUUUUGUAAGCUUUUGUAAUAUCAGUUACGGAUGUUCUUCAAGGGCAUGGAACUCAACUUGAAAAUUUUACUAAUUUGGUUGCAAAAAACAUUGAGGAAGCAUAUAAUGAUCUAACCUUUUUUGUUUUGUUUUGUUUUUAAUUUGUUAUGGGAUUCUAUUGAAUGAUAAUUUUUUUUUUAUUUCCCAUACAUAUUAGUUCUUCAAAAACAACAUAUUCGAGAUUUUAUUUUUCUAGAAUUUUUAUAUAGAAGUUUAUAUUUUUUAAAAUAAAUUUGAGUUUUUUUUAGAAUUUUUAUAUAGAAUCGAGGUAAAUUGGAAAAAAAAAUUAUAAAAACAAAAUACUAAAAUUGUUAUUAUAGCAACUAAAAAGUGUCAUUUAACAAUAGGGUGACCAAAUUGUAACUUUUUUAGUUAAGUGACCAAAACGAAGAUUUACCCAUAGUUUAGUGGCUAAUUAUGUAGUUUACCCUUUCAUAAUUAAAAAAUAGUUGUUAAGUUUUUCUUGUAUUAGAUAACAAUUUAGAUGGUAAAAACCCUCUUUAGUCCCUCUCAAUUUUGAUAUUAAGUAAAAUUGUCCAUUUAAAAAAAAAAUCAAAGCAAUUUAAUAUUUGUUAAUUUCGAAAGUGAGCAACUAAGGACAAUUAAUCACAAUGUCAAUAUUUUCCAUCAAUUGUACAUAUUUUUAUUGGUGUAAUAACAAAUUUAGCUCUCAAAGUUUACACAUUCUGUCAAUUUAGUCUUGAUUUAACAAAUUUAACCCGCAACAAUUACAUAUUCUAUUAACAUUGACACAUAAUAUAUAAACAUUGAGAGCUUAAUUUGUUAUUGUAUCAAUAAAAAUUAUGUACAAUUUACAGAAAGCAUUAACACAAUGAUUAAUUGUCCUUAGUUGCUCCCUUUCAAAAUUGAUCAUGAUUAAAUUGCUCUAAUUUUCUGAGAGGAACCAAUUUGUUCAAUAUAGAAAUUGAGAGGGACGAGAAAUGUGUUUUUUUAUCCAUUUUAGAUACCAACAAGUGUUUGGCAUAGUCGCAAGACAUAUUACAUUCUCAAGGAGAGAAUGCGUAGUCAAACGUUGGAGAUAUCAAUGUUGUGUGGGGUAUCCAAGGAUCUCGAACACGAACUGUAAAACAUAUAUAAAGAAUAAAAAAAUAACAUCUUAAUUUAAAUAAUUAUAAAUUUUAAUUUGAAAAAAGUAUUUUGAGAAACAUAAGUUUUAGAAGUAGUAAAAUUGAAUCGAUAAAACAUGUCCAUUAUAUCAGAAUCAUAAAAAUACAACUUAAUUAAUUUGAAUUUAAACUUAACUCAACUCGACUUGAUUAUAAAAACUGAUAAUUUGAAUUCAAAAUGACAUGAUCUUGAAAUGAUUUGAAUUAAUUGUCAGACCCGAACGACAAAACUCGAAAUGAUGCAAUCCAAAAACACAAAUCAAGUGAACUAAACUACGAAAAAAAAAACCUUACACUGACUCAAAUCCAAAAUAGUUUAAUCCUAAAAUAACCUAAAUUUUAUAUAAUAAAAACUCGAAAUAACCCGAAAAUUUUUAAAUUAAAAUUGAUCCGACCCAAAUUCACACCACCUAAAAUCAAUCGUAACCACCUAAUUAAAAAGCAUGAAAUGAAAUGAUGUAAAGAGAAAAUCAGAGAAAACCAAAUAGAAAGUAACAAGCCUUUUUCAGAAUUGAAAGCAAAUUCCGUACAUUCACGACAUGCAUAAAACAACAAUGGUUUAUAGAAUUUAAAAAUUUUAGUUUAAUCAUUUAUGUUGGUUGUAGUUUCCGUUAGCUUAAUCAACAUGUUAAAUUACUAAAUUUUGACAAAAAAUACUUACGAGUUUAAUGAUUGUACCGAGAUUUUUAAAUAAAAAAGUCGGAAGACUAAUUUCUAACCUUUUAAAUAUAGGGACUAAAAGCAUCUUUUAACUUUGAUAUUAUUAUUAUAAGCAGGGAUAAUGUCACCUUUGGCAUCUGUACUUUCAUAAAAUGUCUAGUGGUACAAGUACUUUGAAAAUAUAUAAUGUGGUACCUGAACUAUCAAUAGGUGUUAUUAUUAUGGUACAUGUACUUUGAAAAUGUUUAAUGUGGUACCUAAACUAUCAAUAUAUAUUUUAUUAUGAUACUUGAUAAAGACGGACUAUGGUGGCUUAGGGGGCUCUUUGUCCCGCCACCCUUGCAAAAAAAAAAAUCGAAGAAUUUUGUUUUUUCCUUUAAAAUUUUUAGAAAAUUUCAAUUAGGCCCUCAAAAUUUUUGAAAAUUUUCAUUAUACCUUUUAAUUUUUUUGAAAAUUUUAAUUAAGCACUCUUAAAUUUUGAAAAUUCUCAUUAAUCUCACAAAAAUUUUAAAAUUUUUUAUUAGACCCCCAAUUUUUUUUAAAAAAAAUCUUAUUAAACCAUUAAAUUUUUAGCAAAUUUUACCUGCCCCCUCCCCCCCAAAAAAACCUAGUCCCAACUACUAGUAUCCGCCAUUGUUACUUGGUAUUAACACUGUUAGAAAAUUGCUAAAUCAACCAAUAAAAAUUUGACACAUAGAACCCUUUUUUUAAUUAUCAAGUCCACGUGGAUAAUAUAAUAGUGAAAAACUAAAUAAAAAAUAAUUAAAUCUGCUUAUUUACGAAAAUGAUGGAUUUAGUCCUUAUACCUUAAUUUGAUCAAUUUUAGUCAUUGUAUUUUUUGAAUUGGUCAAUUUUAAACUAUUUACUUUUUGAAGUUUGAAAUUUUAGUCUUGAUCCAAAUAAUAAUAAUAAUUAAAUCUGCUUAUUUAAAUUCAAUUAUUAGUUUUGUAUUAUGUAGAUAGUUAUAAAUUUAGGGUGGGUUUGGAUGGGCUGUGCUUUUACCUGCAGUUAGUGUAAAAAUAGCGGCGGUGGUGAGAUUAGAUAUCCAAGGUACCUAAUUUUUAUUUUGGCCAUAAGUACUACUAAAACUAUUCUUCCGUUACCCAUUUUAUACCAAAAUGUUAUAUCGGCUAAAAAGAUUCCAACAAAUAAUAGAUUGUAUGUCAUAUAAACUUUUUUAAAAAAUCAUUAAUUAAUUAAUUUUUAUAUUUUUCUUUCUUAUUCCUUUAUAAUGUUUGACAAUGUCGAUAAUGCUUGAAAUUGGCCCACUUGAGGUCGAAACGCUGGUGAUUAAUUUUGGUUUUGAAUUUCACCACCUACUUCUCUGACCAGAGGGGAUAGAAAAAGUUCUUUCAUCGAUCAAAACUAGUAUUUUCAAAAACAGACUGAUUCUACGGGUUGGAUAGGAAAUCGGUUUGGAAAUAGGGGUUGAAUCGAUUGACUUGCGAACAAAAACAAAUCGGUUGAACUAAGCUAAAAAAACUGGUUGAAUAAGUUCUCUCUUUUUAUAUAUAUAUAAAUAAUAAUAGACUUUGUUUUUACUACAUGUCAAUUUUUAAUUGGUUAAUUUUUUUUUCAUAUAAAUUGAACAAUUUGACUAAUGACGGAGGUACCAAAUUAUAGUCUAGGUACCAAUUUAUGGGUUAAGCCUAUUUAUAAAAUAGACUUUUGACAGUUUGACUAAUGGCGGUAGUAACUUGGGAAAAAAAAAGUAGUUUAUGUACCACUUGUGACAAAAAAUAAGAUUAGGUACCAACAUGGGAAAAUGAGUAUAAUUUAGAUACCGAUUUAUGAGUUAAGCCUAAUAUAUUUGUCGCAUAAUUUUUUGAAAAUAACAGAACUUAAUAAAUUUAACGGUUAUUGUUUGGUGAUUACUAAAAUUUUAAAAUUUGAAAAGUACAUGAACUAAAAAUGACCAAAUUAAAAUAUAAAUAUUAAGUCCACAACUUUUGCAAAGUACAAGGACUAAUUGCAGAAAUUAACCUAAAUUUCAUAUGGGUCAAUUACAAAAAUAAUCACUAAACUAUCCCUUUGGUUCUAUUCUAGCCACUCAACUAUAUAGGUGCUCAUGAGCUUGGCCAGGUCAGGCCUAAGUAAGGGUGAGCAUUCGAUUGAAUCGAAAAUUUUCGAGUUAAUCGAGUUUUCGAAUCUCAUUUUAUCAUCCUAACUUUAUUUGAAGUUUUCUCGAAUCGAGUCGAGUGAGAUGGAAUUCGAAUCGAAUCGAAUCGAAUCGAAUAUAUUUGUUCGAGUUAAAUUUUAAAAAAUAAUUUUGGGUCCUUGUAACCAUUGUCACCCAUCGUAAUAAAAUUUGUCCACCUUAAUCAAAUUUUUUAUUAACUUUCAUCACUUCAUAAUUUAUUUAUUAAUUUUUUAUAUACUGGUUAGCUUCUUUGCUUGCUUAGUUGUCUUCAGAUUCUUGUCACUAUGUAUUUUAGAAUUAAAAAAUAUAUUAAAUGUAAAAAUAUGAUUUUUUAAUAAAAGUUAUUUUAAAAAUAAAAUGUGAAAUUGAUACCAAUAUAAAAUUUCAACACGAAUAUUUUAAGGCAUAAUUAAUAAUUCAAUUUUAAUAUAAAUAUUCAAUAUGACUAAACAAUUCAAUAAUAUAAAUAAUAUAAAAUGUGAAAUUUAAUUUAAUAAUAUAAAUAGUAGAUAUAAAUAAAAUUAUUGCUAUUUAUGUUUAGUGAUUUUUUUGGAUAAUUUUGAUUUUUUAUUUGAGAAUAAAAGGUGAGAAGUAAAAGUUUAGGGGAAAAAUAAAAAGUUUUGGGGAAUAAAAGUUUGAGAGAAAGUAAAUAGGGGGAGUAAAAUUUUGGAGGGAAAAUAUUUAAAAAAAAUUGGAGGGGGGAGGGUUUGGGAUAGAUGGGAGGGGAAUAAAAGUUUUAGGGGAAAAGUGGGAGGGAGUAAAAAUUUUGGGAGAAAAUAAAAGGUUUUGAGGGUUUUGGGGAGUAAAAUAUUGAGAAAAAAUAAAUAGGAGAGUAAAAUUUUGGUGGGAAAUGGAUUUUGGGUAGAUUGGGGGGUUGGGAGGGGAGGGGAGUAAAAGUUUUGGGGGGAAAGUGGGAAGGAGUAAAAGUUUUGAGGGAAAAGUAAAAAGUUUGGGAGUUUGGGGUAAAAAUGUAAAAUAUUAUAGUUUGAUAUUCGAAUUAUUCGAAUUAUUCGAGUUAUUCGAAUUCGAAAACUCAACUCGAUUCGAACUCGAAAUUCGAAAAAAAAUUCGAGUUGAUUCGAAUAACUCGAUUCGUUUAACUCGAAAUUUGAAUUUUUUUCAAUUUUUUCGAGUCGAAUCGAGUUUUGCUCACCCCUAGUUGCAAGUGCAACUUGCGUGGUGGCUGCCAGAAGGACUGAAUCGUAAAUGUAGCAAAAGUUUUGGGGCAAAAAUGUAAUUUUGAGAAAGUUUAGGGUCAAAAUAUAAUUUUAAAAAAUAUUAAGGGUUAAAAUAUAAUUUUAUAAAAAUUUAAGGGUCAAAAUGAAAUUUUAGAAAAGUUCAGAGGUCAAAAUACAAUUUUUAAAUUUUUUUUUAAAAAAAAAACACGAAAUUAUUCCCACAAAAUUAAGUGAUUACACGUAACUUUUCAAUGUAAAAGAAAAAAAAGACUGUAACACCAAUGUUGUGGUGUUAUUUGUUGCCUAUAAAUACCAUUCCUAUUCUUCAUCUUCCUCUGCAAACAUAACAUGGCCCCCUAUCUCUUUCUCUGCCUAUUCCUCUUCUUUCCCCGUCUUUAUGCUUCUUUUUCUUCUUCAGGAUAUCAGUCCUGCUCUUCAUUAAUCCAGUUUAAGGACUCUUUUUCCAUAACAGAGGAUGCUUCUUCUGAUUGCAAUGAGAUUGCUGGCCUUAAAUCUUAUCCCAAGACAAAUUCAUGGAAGGAGGGUACAGAUUGCUGCUCAUGGGAUGGGGUCACUUGUGACCACCUAAAUGCUCAUGUUAUUGCCCUUGACUUGAGCUGCAGUUGGCUAUAUGGCAACUUCCCUUCCAAUACCACUCUCUUCCUUCUUCCUCACCUUCAAAAACUCAACCUUGCCUACAAUGAUUUUAAUCUUUCCAAAAUUCCAUCCGAGUUCGGUCGGUUUACAAGCCUAUUCUACCUCAACCUUUCCCAUACAGAGUUUGAAGGAGAAGUCCCAUCCCAAGUCUCCCACCUGUCAAAAUUGGUUUCACUUGAUCUCUCCUCUCGGAUUGAUUACUCUGGGCAAGUUACAAUUGACAAACAUGCUCUGGAGGGACUUGUUCACAACCUAACCGAGGUCAGACAUCUGUUUUUGGAUGGAAUGGACAUGUCUUCUGUUAAUGCUCAUGUCUUCAUGAAUCUAUCCUCUUCUCUAAGGUCUCUCAGUCUUGCUUAUUGUGAUUUGCAAGGAAAAUUCCUAAAAAACAUUAUUGAUUUGCCAAACCUCAAUCUCCUCAACUUGGGACGUAACCAAAACCUCAAUCUUGAUCCUUUGAAGUUCAAUCGGAGCAGCAAUCUCGAACAUUUGGAUCUGUCGUGGAUGUCCUUCUCUACAGAAUCCGUUAAUUCAGUUGAUAAUCUACAGGCCUUAAAGUACUUAGAUCUAUCAGGAAAUUCUUUCUUUCAAGGAUUGUCUGUCUCAAUCACAAAUUUAUCAUCUUUGGAGCAAUUGAUAAUUUCAGGCGCAAAUUUUUUUGGAGGAUUGCCUGACUCGAUGGGGAAUCUUGUGUCCUUGAAGUUUUUAGUUCUCUCCGAUUCCAACUUUUCAGGACCGCUUCCAAGAUCACUGGGAAACCUCUUUCAACUCAAGUGUUUAGACUUGAGAUCAAACAAAUUGAGUGGACAAAUUCCAUUGUCAAUUCUAAACCUAACGCAGUUGGAAUACUUGGAAAUAUCUGAAAAUUCUUUAGAAGGUUCCAUUCCAGAUGAGGUAACCGCUUUUCCUAAUCUAAUAUAUUUAUACUUAUCUGACAAUUUACUCAAUGGAACACUUCCGUCAUGGUUGUAUACUGCUCCCUGCUUAAAGGAAAUAUAUCUCUCUCAAAAUCAAUUCAGUGGGCAUAUCAAAGAAUUCCAAUCCAAAUCACUAGAAUUGAUAGCGUUAGAGAGUAAUAAACUCCAAGGUCCUCUUCCAUCUUCAAAAUUCCAACUUCUCAUCCUCAAGUAAUCUCAGUGGUGUCAUAGAGUUUCGCAUGUUCUCAAACCUUCCAAAUCUAAAACUUCUUGACCUUUCAUACAACAGCCUAUCCUUAGCAUCUAAUACUACUUCUUGUGUUAACCAUAUAUUGCCUAAUCUUACAGACUUACGUUUGUCAUCUUGCAAUCUUAGUGAAUUCCCCCAAUUUUUGAAAGGGCUUAAAAGUUUGAAAAGGUUAGACCUCUCUUGCAACAAAAUUGAAGGCAAGAUUCCACAGUGGAUGCAAGAGGUGGGGAAUGGCUCUUUGACUUACUUAAACGUAUCUCACAACUCUUUGACAGAAGUUGAGCACUUUCCACGGAAGAAUAUUGAAGUUCUUGACUUAAGCUCCAAUUUGAUCAGUGGAAAUCUUCCGAUUCCAGCUUCGACCAUCAAUGUCUUUUUGAUCUCAAAUAAUAGUUUCAAUGGAGAGGUCUCUUCUUUAAUAUGCAAUGCCAGUUAUCUUAAAAUUCUUGAUUUGUCCCACAAUAACUUGAGUGGAACAAUUCCGCAAUGUUUUGGAAAUUUGAGCAACAGCCUUCAAUUCUUGAAUCUGAAGAAGAACAAGUUCUAUGGGACGAUUCCUCCAACAUUUGCAGAGGGAUGCCAAUUGACUAAUUUCAACAUAAAUGGAAAUCUGUUAGAAGGGCCUUUGACACCAUCCAUCCUUAAUUGUAAUGAACUGGAAGUGCUAGAUCUUGGUAACAACAAGAUCAAUGAUACAUUUCCUCAUUGGUUGGGCAGUCUUCCAUUUUUGCAAGUUCUUGUAUUGAAGUCAAAUCAUAUGCAUGGUUCCUUGCGUGUCAAUAGCUCCAAGUCUAGCCCUUUUUUCUCUAAAAUCCAAAUUUUUGAUCUCUCGAGUAAUUAUUUUUCUGGACCUCUACCUGUGAGAUACAUCAACAGCUUCAAGGCUAUCAUAAAUCUAGAUAAGAUUGGGAGUACAAUGUCGUACAUGGGGGUGUAUGCUCAGAGAGGUAGUGGCUUCUAUACCUAUUCCAUUGGAAUUGUUAUGAAAGGACAAGAUAUGGAAUUGGUGAAAAUUUUCACCAUGUGGAUGAUCAUUGAUCUAUCAAACAAUCAGUUUGAAGGGUGUAUUCCAGAGGUUUUUGGGAAGCUUAACUUACUGAAAGGGCUCAACCUUUCUCAUAACAACCUUCAUGGUGGUAUCCCCACCUCAAUAGGGAAUUUGACAAGUCUUGAAUGGUUGGACCUAUCUUCAAACAGGUUGUCUGGGACGAUUCCAAAUAGAUUGGCAGAUCUGGCAUUUCUUUCGUCCUUCAAUGUUUCUGAUAAUCAGCUCCAUGGUCAGAUUCCUCAAGGCAAACAGUUCAACACAUUUGGAAAUGAUUCAUAUGAAGGAAACAAGGGAUUAUGUGGAUUUCCAGUCUCGAAAGGUUGCAACAUCAUUGAGCCAGCACCUCCAAAUGUGCUUGAAAAAGAUGGCUCAAAAUCAAACAUUACUUUUGGUUGGAAAGUGGUGUUGAUAGGUUAUGGAUGCGGAGUGGUGUUCGGAAUGUCCGUGGGAUAUGUUGUUUUCCAAACUGGUAAGCCGAAAUGGUUGGUGAAUUUGGUUGAAAUCCAACAUGAGAAGAAGCAAAGACGAAAGUCAAAGAAAGGCAAUCGAAGCAAUAGACGAAGAAGGAUCUAAGUACAGCAAAUGAUGUUCAAGAAUUAGUGUUGUAUUUUCAAAAUUUCUUGUUCUGUAGACCGUUUUGCCCAUGGUGAAGGGUUGCAUUGGUAUGUGUAUGUCUUUAUUAUUGUACCAAUUCCUGUCUUUCAUUGCAUUUCGUACUAUCUGUAAUGGUUUGUUUGAGUGUAACAUUUUGUAUGGUAUUGUUGUUUAUGUCUUCUUUCAUGACUUUCCAUUUAGUCUCGAUAAUCUUUGCUACUGCUCAGUAAAGGAGGAAGGAGAAUAAAAUGUCUCAAUUUAUGUCAAUUUAUGCUUGCAGAUUUGACGUGGAAUGUUGUUGAACUGAAGGUUGUUUAACUUUUGUCUUCUAAGCUAUACAUGAACAUAUGGGAUGUGACAAAUAUUAUUUUAGCUUUUGCUUAUGAAAUGUUGAAAUAGUGAGUUUAUAUUCCUUGAUUAAUAAAAAGUGAGAUGGAGAUAGUCAAACCUCAAUUUCCACAUUGAAAUUGAAUCCAAACAUUAAUUGGUGGAUCACAUGUCUUGUAUUCUGUCAAGUUAAAGGGAGUGAAUAGAGCACCAUUCUUCUUCUGCGUGGAAAAUAAGUUGGCGUUAUGCCAAUUUUCACAUUCAUACAUAUAAAGGAAGCAAGACCAAGUCAAUAUACUUUGUAAUCUCAUCAUUUCUUCUUCAUUCUUUAGGGAGUUCAAAUGAAAUACAAAUUUUUGGUAAAUCAACUCUUCUUUUUUAUGAAUAAAAAUUAUAUGGUAAAAAGGAAGUGGUGUUAAUAAUAAUAAUAAUAAUAAUAAUAAUAAUAAUAACAACAAUACAAAACUAAUAAAGCAAUUUAGUCUAUGAUUUGCACAAUGAUUAAUGUAGCGACCUAAAAAUUUAGGCACGAGCGCUAAUUGAAGUGAUUAUUGAAAAUUUGAAAACAGAAUCUCGAUUUUAUUUGAAAAAGGAGUCGCUAUCGAUCUUUUUUUCUAGGUGUGAUCGGACACCUAAUAAAUUCUCUUUUUAGAAGAAAAAUUUAUUUUUAAAUUUUUCUAAAAAUAGGUAAUUUUUCUAAAAAAUUUAGGGGUCAAAAUGUAAUUUUUUUUUUUUUGAAUUUUUUUUGAAAUUUAAAAAAAUAUAUAUAUAAACACGACAAAACCCGGACAAAAUUUAGUGCUUACAAUUAAUACCUAAUUUGAUCCUUGAAUUAUAGUUCAAAAAGUAUUUUUAUAUUUUUAAAUUUUCAUAAAAAUAAUUGUAUCAAAAUUUAAAAAUCUUAAAAAUAAAUACAAAUUUUAUAUAAAAAAUCAAUUGGCCCAAGAAAAAAAAUUUACCAACUAAAUUUUCCAUAUCCAAACUCAUAAAUAAUUCUUCUUUGAACUUUCACAAAAAAAUAUUAAAUACCCUUUCACUUUAUCAUUAUAAAUAUAAUAUACAUUUUUUUCCUUCUUUUUCAUGUAGAUCAGCUUCAACUCUACUAUUCUUAGAUCAUUAUAAAUAUAAUAUAUGUUUUAUUUACAGCUGAAAGUAAAACCUUGAGUUGAAAUUUGGCAGAAAAAAUUGUGGGUUUGGAGAAGAAGAAGAGCACUUUGUAUUUAAAUUUAAAAAAUCAAAAAUUUCAAAACUGAAAGUUACUCAAAACCCUAAACAAUCUAAUAAUUGGAGUUAUAGAAAAGAAAUAUGAGUUUAGAAAUAAAUAAAACAAAAUAAAUUUGCAAAACAAUUUCUAGGCAAAACAACAUGAAGUUGUUGAUGUGAUUGAAGGUGUUCUUCAACGGUGGAAAACAAAUAGAAUUUAAUUUGAAAAUUUUAAGAUUUUUUAAAUAAUAAAAAAUUGCAUUAGUUUAAAAACUUUAGUUUUAAUUUUAAGAUAUUUUUAGAUUUAUACAUAUUUAAUUAUUUUUAGAUUUUUUAGAUUUAAAUGAAGUUACAAUUAUUUUUGAAAACGGUACCUCUACAUUUUUGAAGGUACAAGGAAAUAAAAUAUGGAUUUGGUAUCGAUACUUCGGCCCGAGUAUCAAUGCUCGAGGUAAGUUUAUUGAUACCUUGCGAAAGGUACCAAUAAUUUUUUUAUAUUUUGAUAUUUGGUAAGAAACAUAAUGUUAGUUUGGUAUCGAUUUUCCAUGAGAUAUCAAUACCACUUAAAGAAAAUAUCGAUAGCCCUAGGACAGUAUCAAUACCUAUGUAACAGUUUUAGAAAUUUUGCAACUGGGCCCAUUUGUAGGUUUGAUUGAUGUUUUUAAUACCCUUAGUGUAUGUAUGGCAUGUUUUAAUGAUAAGAAGUGGUUGAACGACUACAACUCAUACGUAGGAUUGAAUAAAGAUGAUGAUUGGUUACUUGUGAAAUUGUUUGCUAAGUAAAUGAUGCAUGAUGGUGGUGUAACAUCCUAAUAUUUCGGCUUGGCGACUGAGCCGAGUAUAGGGUGUUACAAUGUGUUCCACAAGUUUCAUCAGCAAUCCUCAAUGCAUCUAAUUAAUUGGGAAAAUUGAGAAAAUAGAAAAAGCUUCAGAUGGUCAAGAAGAUGUAACAUGAUGAGUACCUCUUUGCACCGUCAAGAAUUUUAGUAAGUCUCCAAAUUCAUUCAUUAACCCUCCUUCCUGUUAAAUAUUUAUCAUUAAUUUUAUUAAAUUAAAACAUAAAUUUUUAUAAAUCUAAAGUGUAAUUUAUGAGCCGAGUUAUUCAAUCCAAAAAAAAAAAUCAGCCAAGACUCUUUGGACAAAUUGCUUGAGUAAAACCAGAAAAUGAAUAACAAUUUUGAUGGAUUUUGAUUACAAAUGAAUUGAGGCAUAAUGCCAUUACAUAUACCAUGCAUUCAGCUGGUCAAAAUGAGACAGACAUCACCUAAUCAUCAACCUAACUCCACUAAGUAGCCUUGAAACUUAUGAAAACAUAACUUGCACACAUAGGUACGCUGAUUUAUCAAUCUAUCAGCACCUAAUUACAUCAAACAUGUUACCAACUUAGUUCAAAUCAAACUAAGCAAGAAAACAUUAACUUAAAGUAACAAAAAAUGAACAGCAGCAUGAACUUCAGCUGCAACUGCAUGGCUGGAGCAGCUCUGCUUCUUGUCUGCAUGCCGGCCAACUUCAACAAGAUCUGAGUAAGGCUAAUUUGUCCAGAAGUUGCAUCAUGCAAAACUAUUUAAUGGCUUUUAGGUAGCUUUGUCAACGGCAAAAAAAAUGAGAAAAUUAGUCAAAUUUCUUCCAUUUUUAUCUUUAAAAAUUUGGUUUUGUGCGUCAACAUGAAGUACAUGUGGCACGUACAUGCAAACUGUCUGAUUAUUUAGACAUCUACACUAGUUUUUAAAGGUAAAAAUAGAAGAAAAUUUUAAUAAACAAGACCAAUUAACUCUUUUAUCUAGCAUACAAGAAUUAUUCUAUACAUCUUUCAAUAAAUGGGGAAAAUUACAUCCACACAUUCUCCACAUUUCAGACCUGUAAUUCUAGCCAAUUGGUCACAAGCAUACAUGUCCCAUUUCAAUAUUCAAAGGUCUGCUUUGAUUAUUUUAUUUUGUGUUCUGUUGUCGCCCCAAAAUAGUUCCACUUGGCACAUCUCCAUACAUUUCAAACAUACCAAAAAUCUGCUGGCAAGCAAUACAAGACAAGUUCCAGCCACUUCAACAUUUGGCUCCUGUUCAUUGCCAAAAGAAAAAAAUAAACAUUUUUUAUAUUUAAUUGAAGGUCAAAAACACAUAAAAAGACAACCGGACAGCUAAUAUUUCAUCCAAUCUUCACAACAUGUCUGUGUGCGUGCAGAUCCUUCACUUCCCAGAAGCCUUUAGCGCGUAUUCUAUUAUAAAAUCACAGAUUACUAUUUAAAUGAUAAAUAAAUUAUUUAAAGUAUGAAAAUAUACAUGUUUUUUUUUUAUUGGCUUAAGGGCGUAAAAAAUCCUUAAAUUUUUUUUUUAAAAAAGACAAUUAAAUUUCUCCUUUUUUUACACUCAAUUGAGCACUUAAAGUUUUAAAAUGCAUCAAAAAUACUCUCAAACUUCUUCCGAAAAAACAAUUAAAUCCUUAUUUUCUUUCCCACUCAAUUGGGUGCUUGAACUUUUUCAUAAUAUUUUUUUGGGCGAUUUAAUGAACCAUACAAGUUUCAAGGCUAAAAGAGGCAAAAGAAAAAGAAAAAGAAAAAAAAGCUAAAAUGACUUUUUGUUUGUAAAGUCAAAAAAUACCAAAUAAAUCAUUAUGUCUUUUUAGUUUUAAUUUUUUACUUGAUUAAAAGAGAAAUAAUUAACGAAUGAAAAAUAGCUAUUCCUAAAUAAAUUUAUCAGAAUUUAUAACAAAUGAGAUUUUAGAUUUGAAGUAUGAGGUUAUAUAUAUUAUAUAAGUAUAUGAUGAAGUUGGUUCAGCAUGCAGCAAACUCGACAGCAUGCAGGCCAUCAAGACCAAGUCAUGCAGGAGCUGCUGGAACGAGCUGAACUAUUCCUAUUUUGUUCAACUUGUAACCUUAAGUUAAUGUAAUGUACUUUAGUUCAUUUAGAACUAUGUUAGGUUUAUGAUUGAUGUAUUUUGAUGACAAUUAAGCUGUUAAGUCAGCUUUGUUUAAGUGUGCAAGCUUAGUUUUUCAAGUUUCAAUGUAUUAGUGGUGGUAGGUGAUGAUUAGGUAUCAUUAUGCAGAUUUUGACAAGCAAAUUGCUUGGUUUAUGUAUUGGCAUUAUGCCAUUGUUCAAUGUAUGAAUAGAAUCAGUUUUUGUUCAUCAAUUUCCUCUCCAUUUUCUUAGCUUUUUCUUUCUUUCUUUAACUCGAAAUUGUUUGUUUGCUCAGCAAGUUUUAAGGCUUGCUCGACAAGAUACUUGCUGAGUCUGCUUGAUUCUGUUCUUGCAUCAACAAUUGGUAUCUAGAGCCUAUUUCUUAAGGGAUCUGUUACUCAAUUCCAUGGCUUCAUCAAGCUUUUCACCAGCUGCACCUCAAGUCUUCAAUGGAGAAGGCUAUCACAUAUGGGUGGUCAAAAUGAAGACCUACCUGCAGGCUUUCGAUCUGUGGGAGGUGGUCAACUUUGAUGUUGAACCAGAGCCACUUAGAGCUAAUCCAACAGUGGCUCAGAUCAGGCAGCAUGCUGAUGAAAGGACCAAGAGGCACAAAGCUAUGUCUUGCAUCCAAAACUCAGUGUCUGAUGUGAUUUUCACAAGGAUUAUGGCCUGUGAAUCACCAAAACAGGCCUGGGAUAAGUUGCAGGAAGAGUUUCAAGGGACUGAGAGGACAAGGCAGCAACAGUUGUUAAAUUUGAGGAGAGAUUUCGAGAAUUUGAAGAUGAAGGAAGAAGAAACUGUCAAGCAAUAUUCUGACAGGAUUAUGGCCGUGGUUAACAGCAUCAGGCUCCUUGGAGAGCAGUUCAAUGAAGCUAGGAUAGUGGAGAAGGUUAUAGCAACUCUGCCUGAGAGGUAUGAGGCAAAAAUCUCAUCUCUCGAGGACUCAAGGGAUCUGUCCACCAUCUCCCUGACAGAGUUGAUCAAUGCUCUAUAUGCUCAAGAGCAGAGGAGAGCAAGCAGACUGGAGGAGCACCAAGAAGGUGCCUUUCAGGCAAGAACAAAUACUGCCUACAAAGGCAAGAAGGCCUGGAGAGACAAGCCAAAGAAUGAUGCUGCAAGGAGAGAAGGUCAGACUUGCAAGCACUGUAGAAAGGCUGGUCAUUCAGAAGAAAAAUGCUGGUUCAAUCCAGAUGCUGUGUGUCAGCAUUGUAAGAAGAAGGGUCAUGUUGAGAGAGUCUGCAAGAGUAAGACCAAAUCGAGGCAGAAUCAGUUUCAACAGAUGAAAGCUGAGGCUCGAGUAGCUAAGGAGGACAGUGACCAAGAGGAGCAAGUCUUUGCUGUGUCAUGCUCAGCUGCUCAGGAAAAGUCCUCAUCUGGUUGGCUUCUAGACAGUGGAUGUACCAACCACAUGACACCUGAUGCUGCAAUCUUCAAGUCUUUAGACAGAAGCUGUAGAACUAAAGUCAAGAUAGGAAAUGGUCAUUUUAUUCAAGCUGAAGGCAAGGGUGAUGUGCUGAUAUGCACCCUUACAGGUACCAAAGUGAUUUCAAAUGUGCUGUUGGUGCCUGAAAUUGACAGAAACCUGCUCAGCAUAG
rnacentral:lncRNA from 1 species